AGGUGGCGAGGGAGCUCGGUGGGCUCCGAAAGACACAUUCGGGCGCAGGAAGAAAAAAACGCAGUGGCUGCUGCUCGCUAUAGCUUAGAUCCCGCAUGGCUCUGGUACUGUUCCUCCUGAUGGCGAUGUUGGUUGCAGGUUCCAUGCAAGAUGUCCCACAGAACCCGCACCUUAGGCUCCGUCGCGGGUUCGGUUGCCCGUACAACGAGUUCGCGUGUUCCCAACAGUGCGUCAGCGCCGGAAAACGCCACGGCUUCUGCGGCAAGGACGACACCUGCGAGUGCGUCGGUUGAGCAACGCGGAGCGCCCGCCUGCGGCAGCCGCCUUGCGACGUUCGUGGCUGCAGAGGACUAGGACGUCGGCGCGGCGGCUCGCUCGUUGGCUGGUUGAAGUGCCCGAAUCGUUUAUUAAAUUGGCACGAUUCACCAAGAAUACCUCA